rnacentral:rRNA from 1 species
CCUACGGGCGGCUGCAGUGGGGAAUAUUGGACAAUGGGGGCAACCCUGAUCCAGCCAUGCCGCGUGUGUGAAGAAGGCCCUCGGGUUGUAAAGCACUUUCAGUGAGGAAGAACGCCUGGUGGUUAAUACCCAUCAGGAAAGACAUCACUCACAGAAGAAGCACCGGCUAACUCCGUGCCAGCAGCCGCGGUAAUACGGAGGGUGCGAGCGUUAAUCGGAAUUACUGGGCGUAAAGCGCGCGUAGGUGGCUUGAUAAGCCGGUUGUGAAAGCCCGGGGCUCAACCUGGGAACGGCAUCCGGAACUGUCAAGCUAGAGUGCCGGAGAGGAAGGUGGAAUUCCCGGUGUAGCGGUGAAAUGCGUAGAGAUCGGGAGGAAUACCAGUGGCGAAGGCGGCCUUCUGGACUGACACUGACACUGAGGUGCGAAAGCGUGGGUAGCAAACAGGAUUAGAUACCCGGGUAGUC